ACGUGUAAUCUGGGGUGCCUUAUUGGCUGAGAGAUAUACCCAUAUAACCUGAUCUAGUUCAUUCUAGCGUAGGAAGAUUACGAAGCAAUCAA
rfam:Leuconostoc citreum KM20, complete genome.